rnacentral:rRNA from 1 species
GGGUUGUGAGGUUAAGCGACUAAGCGUACACGGUGGAUGCCCUGGCAGUCAGAGGCGAUGAAGGACGUGCUAAUCUGCGAUAAGCGUCGGUAAGGUGAUAUGAACCGUUAUAACCGGCGAUUUCCGAAUGGGGAAACCCAGUGUGUUUCGACACACUAUCAUUAACUGAAUCCAUAGGUUAAUGAGGCGAACCGGGGGAACUGAAACAUCUAAGUACCCCGAGGAAAAGAAAUCAACCGAGAUUCCCCCAGUAGCGGCGAGCGAACGGGGAGCAGCCCAGAGCCUGAAUCAGUGUGUGUGUUAGUGGAAGCGUCUGGAAAGGCGCGCGAUACAGGGUGACAGCCCCGUACACAAAAAUGCACAUGCUGUGAGCUCGAUGAGUAGGGCGGGACACGUGGUAUCCUGUCUGAAUAUGGGGGGACCAUCCUCCAAGGCUAAAUACUCCUGACUGACCGAUAGUGAACCAGUACCGUGAGGGAAAGGCGAAAAGAACCCCGGCGAGGGGAGUGAAAAAGAACCUGAAACCGUGUACGUACAAGCAGUGGGAGCACGCUUAGGCGUGUGACUGCGUACCUUUUGUAUAAUGGGUCAGCGACUUAUAUUCUGUAGCAAGGUUAACCGAAUAGGGGAGCCGAAGGGAAACCGAGUCUUAACUGGGCGUUAAGUUGCAGGGUAUAGACCCGAAACCCGGUGAUCUAGCCAUGGGCAGGUUGAAGGUUGGGUAACACUAACUGGAGGACCGAACCGACUAAUGUUGAAAAAUUAGCGGAUGACUUGUGGCUGGGGGUGAAAGGCCAAUCAAACCGGGAGAUAGCUGGUUCUCCCCGAAAGCUAUUUAGGUAGCGCCUCGUGAAUUCAUCUCCGGGGGUAGAGCACUGUUUCGGCAAGGGGGUCAUCCCGACUUACCAACCCGAUGCAAACUGCGAAUACCGGAGAAUGUUAUCACGGGAGACACACGGCGGGUGCUAACGUCCGUCGUGAAGAGGGAAACAACCCAGACCGCCAGCUAAGGUCCCAAAGUCAUGGUUAAGUGGGAAACGAUGUGGGAAGGCCCAGACAGCCAGGAUGUUGGCUUAGAAGCAGCCAUCAUUUAAAGAAAGCGUAAUAGCUCACUGGUCGAGUCGGCCUGCGCGGAAGAUGUAACGGGGCUAAACCAUGCACCGAAGCUGCGGCAGCGACACUAUGUGUUGUUGGGUAGGGGAGCGUUCUGUAAGCCUGCGAAGGUGUGCUGUGAGGCAUGCUGGAGGUAUCAGAAGUGCGAAUGCUGACAUAAGUAACGAUAAAGCGGGUGAAAAGCCCGCUCGCCGGAAGACCAAGGGUUCCUGUCCAACGUUAAUCGGGGCAGGGUGAGUCGACCCCUAAGGCGAGGCCGAAAGGCGUAGUCGAUGGGAAACAGGUUAAUAUUCCUGUACUUGGUGUUACUGCGAAGGGGGGACGGAGAAGGCUAUGUUGGCCGGGCGACGGUUGUCCCGGUUUAAGCGUGUAGGCUGGUUUUCCAGGCAAAUCCGGAAAAUCAAGGCUGAGGCGUGAUGACGAGGCACUACGGUGCUGAAGCAACAAAUGCCCUGCUUCCAGGAAAAGCCUCUAAGCAUCAGGUAACAUCAAAUCGUACCCCAAACCGACACAGGUGGUCAGGUAGAGAAUACCAAGGCGCUUGAGAGAACUCGGGUGAAGGAACUAGGCAAAAUGGUGCCGUAACUUCGGGAGAAGGCACGCUGAUAUGUAGGUGAAGUCCCUCGCGGAUGGAGCUGAAAUCAGUCGAAGAUACCAGCUGGCUGCAACUGUUUAUUAAAAACACAGCACUGUGCAAACACGAAAGUGGACGUAUACGGUGUGACGCCUGCCCGGUGCCGGAAGGUUAAUUGAUGGGGUUAGCCGCAAGGCGAAGCUCUUGAUCGAAGCCCCGGUAAACGGCGGCCGUAACUAUAACGGUCCUAAGGUAGCGAAAUUCCUUGUCGGGUAAGUUCCGACCUGCACGAAUGGCGUAAUGAUGGCCAGGCUGUCUCCACCCGAGACUCAGUGAAAUUGAACUCGCUGUGAAGAUGCAGUGUACCCGCGGCAAGACGGAAAGACCCCGUGAACCUUUACUAUAGCUUGACACUGAACAUUGAGCCUUGAUGUGUAGGAUAGGUGGGAGGCUUAGAAGUGUGGACGCCAGUCUGCAUGGAGCCGACCUUGAAAUACCACCCUUUAAUGUUUGAUGUUCUAACGUUGACCCGUAAUCCGGGUUGCGGACAGUGUCUGGUGGGUAGUUUGACUGGGGCGGUCUCCUCCUAAAGAGUAACGGAGGAGCACGAAGGUUGGCUAAUCCUGGUCGGACAUCAGGAGGUUAGUGCAAUGGCAUAAGCCAGCUUGACUGCGAGCGUGACGGCGCGAGCAGGUGCGAAAGCAGGUCAUAGUGAUCCGGUGGUUCUGAAUGGAAGGGCCAUCGCUCAACGGAUAAAAGGUACUCCGGGGAUAACAGGCUGAUACCGCCCAAGAGUUCAUAUCGACGGCGGUGUUUGGCACCUCGAUGUCGGCUCAUCACAUCCUGGGGCUGAAGUAGGUCCCAAGGGUAUGGCUGUUCGCCAUUUAAAGUGGUACGCGAGCUGGGUUUAGAACGUCGUGAGACAGUUCGGUCCCUAUCUGCCGUGGGCGCUGGAGAACUGAGGGGGGCUGCUCCUAGUACGAGAGGACCGGAGUGGACGCAUCACUGGUGUUCGGGUUGUCAUGCCAAUGGCACUGCCCGGUAGCUAAAUGCGGAAGAGAUAAGUGCUGAAAGCAUCUAAGCACGAAACUUGCCCCGAGAUGAGUUCUCCCUGACUCCUUGAGAGUCCUGAAGGAACGUUGAAGACGACGACGUUGAUAGGCCGGGUGUGUAAGCGCAGCGAUGCGUUGAGCUAACCGGUACUAAUGAACCGUGAGGCUUAACCUUACAACGCCGAAG